rnacentral:rRNA from 1 species
AGUGAACGCUGGCGGCAGGCCUAACACAUGCAAGUCGAGCGGCAGCGGGUCCUUCGGGCUGCCGGCGAGCGGCGGACGGGUGAGGAAUGCAUCGGAAUCUGCCCUGUCGUGGGGGAUAACCUAGGGAAACUUAGGCUAAUACCGCAUACGACCCGCGGGUGAAAGCGGGGGAUCGCAAGACCUCGCGCGAUAGGAUGAGCCGAUGUCCGAUUAGCUAGUUGGCGGGGUAAAGGCCCACCAAGGCGACGAUCGGUAGCUGGUCUGAGAGGAUGAUCAGCCACACUGGGACUGAGACACGGCCCAGAGUCCUACGGGAGGCAGCAGUGGGGAAUAUUGGACAAUGGGCGCAAGCCUGAUCCAGCCAUGCCGCGUGGGUGAAGAAGGCCUUCGGGUUGUAAAGCCCUUUUGUCCGGGAAGAAAUCGUCUGGGCUAAUACCCCGGGCGGAUGACGGUACCGGAAGAAUAAGCACCGGCUAACUUCGUG